rnacentral:rRNA from 1 species
UAGAACUCGUACCUUUUGCAUCAUGAUUUAGCAAGUGUAAUCCAAGCAAAGCGUGCUUUAGUUUGAUAUCCCGAAACUAGGUGAGCUACUCCAAGACAGCCUAUUAAUAGGGCACACCCGUCUCUGUGGCAAAAGAGUGGGAAGAGCUUUGAGUAGAGGUGACAGACCUACCGAACCUAGUUAUAGCUGGUUGUUCAAGAAAUGAAUAGAAGUUCAGCCUCCCGGCUUCUCUUUAAACCGGGGGAGUUAGUCAAAGGGGGUACAGCCCCUUUGAACCAAGACACAACUUUACCAGGAGGGUAAAGAUCAUAAUACCUAAAGGAAAAUAUUUGGGUGGGCCUAAAAGCAGCCACCCCCUCAGAAAGCGUUAAAGCUCAAGUAUAAUAUUCUGAUCACCAAAUCUUAUCCCCCUAAACAUAAUGAACCACCCCAUGCAUGCAUGGGGGUGACUAUGCUAAUAUGAGUAAUAAGAGGGGGCCCUCUCCCUGCACACAUGUACAUCGGAACGGACAUCCCGCCGACCAUUAACGGCCCCAAACAAAGAGGGCACUGAAUAAUAACAAGAAGAACAUUCACCGUUAAACCCACACAGGUGUGCCCACAGGGAAAGGCUAAAAGAAAAAGAAGGAACUCGGCAAACAAGCCUCGCCUGUUUACCAAAAACAUCGCCUCUUGCACAAAUAAGAGGUCCCGCCUGCCCUGUGACUAUUAGUUUAACGGCCGCGGUAUUUUGACCGUGCGAAGGUAGCGCAAUCACUUGUCUUUUAAAUGAAGACCUGUAUGAAUGGCAUAACGAGGGCUUAACUGUCUCCUUUUUCCAGUCAAUGAAGUUGAUCUCCCCGUGCAGAAGCGGGGAUACAAACAUAAGACGAGAAGACCCUAUGAAGCUUUAGACACCAAGACAGACCAUGUUAAUAACCCUGAAUAAAGGCUUAAACCAAAUGAAACCUGCCCGAAUGUCUUUGGUUGGGGCGACCGCGGGGCAUUGAAAAACCCCCACGUGGAAUGGGAGCACUCCUACAACUAAGAGCCACAGCUCUAGUAAACAGAAAUUCUGACCAACAAGAUCCGGCAGUGCCGAUCAACGGACCGAGUUACCCUAGGGAUAACAGCGCAAUCCUCUUUUAGAGCCCAUAUCGACAAGGGGGUUUACGACCUCGAUGUUGGAUCAGGACAUCCUAAUGGUGCAG